rnacentral:rRNA from 1 species
AUGAGGAGGUUUUUGGUUCCUAGAGCAAGUAUUGAGAAUGCAAGUGAUGUGCAGCCGGUUGCUAACAAUAGUGAGUUUAAUCCGGACGAAAUUCAAUCUGAUCCCGCACUGAGAAAACAAAUUGCUGAAUAUAUAUCAUUGAUUGUGACCACAACAACUUCAUCUUGCAAGAAGAUGGAAGUGUUGGUGGAAGAAUCUCACAAUGAUACUUUGGAAAGGCUUGAGAGGGGUGAGAUAUCUACAGGAAGAGGCUUGAAUCAACAGACUAGUCUUGCUAGACCUGGCGAUACUAGAUGGGGUUCACAUCAUAAAACUUUGCUUCGCUUGGACAAAAUGUGGGCCUCUAUAAUAAAAGUUCUUAGCACGAUUGAUGCAAAUGGGCGUAAUCCGAGCCAUGCUGCGGGUUGCAUAGAAAAAAUGGAGUGCUUCAAAUUUUCUCUCGUUUUGAAGUUUAUGCUAAAGUUGUUUGGUAUAACAAAUGAGCUCUCACAACUUUUUCAAAGAAGGGAUACAAAUAUUGUGCUUGCCUUGGAAUUAAUUCACGAUGUCAAACUCCGGUUGGCUACCAUGAGAGAUAGUGGUUGGGAGAGUAUUUUUGAUGAGGUCAAACAAUUCUGCAAUUCCAAAGGUAUUCCAGUGCCAAAUAUGGAUGAUGAAAUACUAGUUCGAGGUCGCUCGAGGCUAGAGGCAAGUACUAUCACUAAUCUUCAUUAUUAUCGGGCUGAGAUUUUCUAUGUCGUUAUUGACAAAAUAUGUGUUGAGAUGAAUCAUCGCUUCAGUGACUCAAACCAAGAGGUAAUUGCAUGUUUCUCGUGUCUUGAUCCCAAGAAUUCUUUCUCCAAGUUUGAUGUAUAG